rnacentral:rRNA from 1 species
UACGGAGGGUGCAAGCGUUAUCCGGAUUCACUGGGUUUAAAGGGUGCGUAGGCGGCCAUGUAAGUAGGGUGUGAAAUCCCCCGGCUUAACCGGGGAACUGCGCCCUAAACUGUAUGGCUGGAGUGAGAUAGGGGUGUGUGGAACUUCCGGUGGAGCGGUGAAAUGUGUUGAUAUCGGAAGGAACGCCGGUGGCGAAAGCGACACACUGGGUCUCAACUGACGCUGAGGCACGAAAGCCAGGGGAGCGAACGGG